rnacentral:tRNA from 1 species
GUACCCGUAGCGCAAUUGGAUAGAGUUUCAGAUUCCGAUUCUGACGGUUGCAGGUUCGAGUCCUGUCGGGUACACCA